UAAUACGUAGGUGGCAAGCGUUAUCCGGAAUUAUUGGGCGUAAAGCGCGCGCAGGUGGUUUCUUAAGUCUGAUGUGAAAGCCCACGGCUCAACCGUGGAGGGUCAUUGGAACCUGGGAGACUUGAGUGCAGAAGAGGAAAGUGGAAUUCCAUGUGUAGCGGUGAAAUGCGUAGAGAUAUGGAGGAACACCAGUGGCGA
rnacentral:rRNA from 1 species